AGGGCCCGGGCUCCCCUCUGCAGAGUGUGUGGGUGCAGAAUGGAGUGGAGGGACAGGGUGGCUGCUGGACUGGCAGUGGUCCUGUCCUGUCCCCCUAUCCAGACUGUCUUUCCUGAAACAGCCUAAGACGUCUUGGGAAGAAACGGAGUUGAGAGCGGAACGUACUUUGUGUUCAGUGUAAUGUGUUUUGUAAACGCUUUCUCCGAUUCCUCAUGGCUUCGGCUUGGCCAGUGGGGCUCAGCUCCUAGCGGGCCACUUGAGCAGCGUAGGUCAUCCAGGAUGCGUGGUGGCCAGCCCGUGUCCCCUGGAGGGUGGCCUCCACACAGGACGGGUGUCGCAGCUGUCGCCGCAGAGCAGGGUGUGUGUCCCCGCCUGCCCCGGUCUUCCUGCCACUGCGAUCGUUCUAGGAAGCCUGUCUCUGAUGGUUGACAUCGUUCCGCCUGUUCUGUCCUCUCUUCUGCCUGGCCGUUGUGGAAGUCCAUGACCCGG